UUCUGUUCCUUUCUUGAAGUAUUUAAACAGUUUAUUAUGUAGUUUAUUGCAGUUCUCAAUUGACAACAAAAUUUAAGUUUAUUUGGUACUACUUUAUUUGUAAAUUUUUCUGUCACUGAUUUCUUUUUGUCUCCUAUUCCUUCUGUUCUGUGUACAUUCUUAGUCUGUCACAUACUAGAUAGCCUCUCGUUGUUCUUGUCAGUGUAAAACCAAGUUAAUUUGUGAUGUACUGUCACAGAAUUAGCUAUUGUGGACCAAUGCCACACUCCUACUAAAAAGUAUUUAUUUAUAGCAGCACAUUUCCUGUACCUGAAUUCUUAUGUGCCCGCCAACCCCCGAGACCUAAGAUGCCACUAGUCAAAAGCUGCCUUUCCUUCUCUCUGUCCACAGUGUUUGUCAAAGAUGUGGAUAGUUACAAACAGUUGCAAUUUACAAUUUGAAAGCAGUUUGCGAAUCAAGUAAUUACUGUACAUUUUGAAUUCCACCACUGGCCACCAAAUUUAUCAAACAGCUGCUAAUAAUACUCGUGUAAAAUAUUCUCAGUUUAAAUUGUAAUAAGUUUUCAUGAACACUGAAGUAUGACAGCAGUAAAUGCAGUCACAUUUUAGAUUUGUCCAGUGUAAAUCAUAUCGCUAUUUGAUGGUUUUAUGAUGUAGACUGUUGGUGUAAUUUGAUUUGCUGUUAAAUCCAGAUACUAUUCCUUCAAGCAAACACUGUAAUGAGUGCCUGUAGUGCUUGUCCUAUCAUUCUUAUUUGCUUUAAGAUGCUGUAGUUAACAUAUUAGUUCCAUGUUGAUGUGGUGAAUAUAAAUAUUAUAGUUGUCUUUGCUUUAUUUCCAACUGUUCGAAAAUGAAUUAUCUUUGUAAUUGGACCUCCAGGUUAGCUGCCAAAUGAUGUCAUUUGUGUAAAUGUUAUGCAUAUUAUUCCUUUUUAAUGGUUAACAAGAAAGCCUGUUAUGGAGUUGUUACUGCUAAUGAGUUGACUUUGGCACAGUUUCAAAAGAAAACACUUCUGUUUUCAUAAUGUUCUAAUUUAUAAACAGUGAGCAUUUCUCCGCUAUUUCUCACUAAAUAAUUAUUGCAGGUAUGUGAUUUAGCAAGACCGCAAUAAAGAAACUGUCAUCAAAAGGCUCCUUUAAGUAGUAACAAUUUAUAAUGAAAUGUCAAAUGAAUAUUGGUAGUUAAAUGCUUGACCGGAAAGUGGCAAUGGAGCAACAUGUAGACAUUAAAAGGAGAAUAAUAGGAGACCAUUAAAGUCCCACAAGACCAUAAAUAAAGAGAGGUAAAAGAGGUAAAUAGAAUCGAAUAACUGUGUCUGAGAAACAGUGGACAUAGAUAGGCUUGUCUAUACUGUUGUCAUACUAUUUUUCUGCUGUAUAAUAUGGUCUGAAGAUAGCACAAAACUCUUGGUACUUGUUUCAUACUUUGGGCGAUUUUCAGGGCACAAGCACUUUGGACUUUAGAUGAUACCACAUACCCGGACACACACAAAAUGCAUCUUCUAUGGUGGUUAUUUCUUUUCAGUUUAAAACUGUCAUCAGCCCCCCCCCCCCUCUCUCUCUCUCUCUCUCUCUCUCUCUCUCUCUCUCUCUCUCUCUCUCUCUCUCUCUCUCUCUCUCUCUCUCUCUCUCUCGAGUUUGUUCACUCAUUAUUUGUUUUGUAAGACUUGUUUAAAGGAAUUUGUUUUAACAGUAUUAAAUAUAGACAUAAGAACAUCCAGUUUUAAGGUAAUACAAACACGCAAAAGGGAAUAGCAGUUGUGAGCUCUUCCGAUAAAUGCAAUGGUACAAUUGAGUUACAAAAAUACUGCUAUGGUGGUCAUAUCUUACAUUAAGUACUAAAGUACAGUUUUAUAAUUUGUAAACUAUGUGAGAUCUGUAAAUGAUUUCUCCAUUUCUUUUCCUUUUGUAAUAACCUCAUUUGGAUAAUGUGGUUUGUUAAUUCAGUAGUAAUUUAUUACAAGGAACACUGUGAAAAUUUUGAGAAUUGUAUUAUAAUCCCAUUGUGCCCUUCUUCAUUUCUGCAGCUGAAUGUUUUAUUUGACUGCCACUUUAAAGUACUCCUCACUAAAUUUCCAUCAUUAUGACACUUGUAAACAUCUUUUAUUUACAUGAAUUGUAUUAUUGUAAGCUCUUGAUAUUUAUAGUCGUGUGUAAUUAAUUUUUAUGCCUUGCUGCCUCAUAAGCAAUAAAAAUAAUGCACAGGCAAGGUUUGUUUGCAAGAGUCCAGCUCUCUCUCUCUCUCUCUCUCUCUCUCUCUCUCUCUCUCUCUCUCUCUCUCUCUCUCUAUUGUCUCACCCACUGAAACUCCUGUCAUAUCAGUUAGUUUUGAAAACUGGCUUAUUUUUCAGGCUCUUAAUUUAACAUCCUAGGUUUUUGCGUUUGAUUUAGUUCAUUCGGCUUUAUGUAUGUUCAUUGUAGUUCCUACAUUUUAGGUGCUGUUUUGUUAACAGAGGUGUCCUCAGUUUUUUUUUAAUUGUGUCAGUACUUUCAGUUAAGAAAGAAGCUAAAUAACUCCAACAAAUGCUGCUCUGAAAUAAUGUACUGCGAUGAGGCUGAUUAAAAAUGAUUGUAUUAAGAAGGAGUGCACAAUUUUAUUAACAGUGAAAAUAGUUUGCUGCAAGUUCCACACAGUCUGCAGAAACAUUAAAGUGCAGUCAUCCAGUAGACAAUUUCCUUAGUUGUCCUUUUCUGGGAAGUAUUGCUAUUAACUUGUUCCACAGUGUUUUACAAACUUAUGAAUCUCUGUGGGUAAAAGUUAAUUAAAUUUUUGUUUAUGUUUAAAUAGAGACAGUAUGAGACAGUGUAUUGCAUUUCAGUUGCUUUAUUAUUAUUAUUGUUAUUAUUAUUAUUAUUAUUAUUAUUAUUAUUAUUAUUAUUAUUGAUGAAGAUGAUGAUGAGUAUUUGAAAGUACUAACGAAGAUCACAUUUGCUAGUCAGGUUCUUUGCUUACAUCUGUUACUACAAUACAUGUAGUAAAACACGAAUAAGAAUCACAUUAAAGAGCUAUUGCAGAUUAUUUGAUGCUGUUGAUUUGAGUGCCUUUCUUCAGUCAAAAUUAAAGAUUGCUAUUACAUGGAGGAGGAGGAGGGGGAUGAUACUUAUCUUUCACUUGAAUAUUAACUUAUUAGAGAAAUUUCUUGACUUUCACUCCUAUAAUUGAGUUUCUGUAUUCAUUUUUAAUGUUUGUUUUUCUGCUGUGUAUUUUACAUCUUGUGUUUAAAUAAUUAUUCUUUCUAUAAAGAUCUCAGUGAUACGGGGAUUUGUCAAAACAUGUUAUUGUUUUUGAAGUUGCUGUGGUGUUAAAAUUUUUAGUCCAAUUCUAUGAAAUGGCAUUAUAAGUAUAUAGAUCUUAAAAGGGAAAUUAAUCUUAGUCAGUUUCAUUCUGGCACAAGAGUGAAACAUUACGUUUUAAUUUGUACACUGCAUAUUUCACAAAAAAAUUUGUGUUCUCUUUAUACUCUUUAAUUUGAAAUGUCUUUUCAACAAGCAUGUUGUGUUCAUUAUCUCAGAGCUAAAGGAAAAAAUGCAGGCAAAAGUGUGAACUAUGAAGCCUGUGUGCUUAUAACAGUUUGAUAGUUAGUUUUAAUACGUUAUUUGUACAAAUGUAAUGAGUUAUAAAUGUUAAAAUACUAAUGAUAAUUGAUACGUAGCAUGUUUGCUAUUAUUGUGUCAGACCAGUCAAUGAAACUUUGUGAUUCAGAUUGCAUUUGUAUCUUUCAACAACAAAUAAUUGGGCAGAGUGAAAAAAAAAUCAAUAAAUUCCUAAAAUGAG
rnacentral:lncRNA from 1 species